GUGGGGGGAGCAGUAAGGAAUAUUGGUCAAUGGGCGCAAGCCUGAACCAGCCAUCCCGCGUGCAGGAUGACGGCCCUAUGGGUUGUAAACUGCUUUUGUACACCAAGAAAAGUCGUGACGUGUCACGAUCUGACGGUAGUGUAUGAAUAAGCAUCGGCUAACUCCGUGCCAGCAGCCGCGGUAAUACGGAGGAUGCAAGCGUUAUCCGGAUUCAUUGGGUUUAAAGGGUGCGUAGGCGGCUUUUUAAGUCAGUGGUGAAAUCCUGCCGCUUAACGGUAGAAUUGCCAUUGAUACUGAAAGGCUUGAGUUCAGUUGAGGUAAGCGGAAUGUGUAGUGUAGCGGUGAAAUGCUUAGAUAUUACACAGAACACCAAUUGCGAAGGCAGCUUACUAAACUGACACUGACGCUGAUGCACGAAAGCGUGGGGAGCGAACAGGAUUAGAUACCCUGGUAGUCCG
rnacentral:rRNA from 1 species